GUAUUUUUAACAAGGAUCCGACAUAAAGAUAUAUUUUUGGGUAACUCUUUGCAAAGUAUAAGCUAUAUACUACGUAUACAUUGUUUUCUUAAAAGCAGCCGAGUGUUUAAUGAUAUAAGACCUACUCCGGGUCGCCCAACACUAGACUAUCACUAGGGUUGGUGAUAUGUCUAUAAUUUGCAUGUUUUCAGUGUCCAUUCAUCAUCGUUUUGAGUCCAGUUUCGUAUCAUUCAUCACUGUUUUAUAUCAUUUCUCAUCAUUCUUGCAUACUUUGCAUGAUUAGGAUAGCUUUGCAUACAUAUUGCAUUUCUGAGUUGUUUUCAGGUGAUUUGGAGCUGUUUGCAAGCAAAUUGGAACAAACGAGCCAGAACCAGAAGACAUACUCGACCCCCCGGUCGAGUGACUUUGGAGCCAUUCUUCCCACAUACUCGACCCCCAAGUCGAGUGACUUUGGAGCCAUUCUUCCCAUCCACUCGACCACCGGGUCGAGUAACAUCAGCUCAGGCCACUUGAUGACACUACUCGACCCCCUGGUCGAGUAUCACUUCGCCACACCACCUGACAACACUCGACCAAUCACUCUACCAAGUUACUCGACCCCCUGGUCGAGUAUCAUCACUCACCACCAUCAGCAUCACUCGACCGGACACUCGAUCACGUCUUCACAGUCUACUCAAAUCUGCACUCAACCAGACAAGCUGAGCACAAGGAAGAGAAGAGGAGAAGACAAAGUGUUUGGAAGCGGCCUGGACCUCCAUCGGAUCACGAAGCCCAUCUCGGCCCAUUAUCUCUCUAUGGGCCGAGCGAUUAGGUUAUUGGCCCGUGUACUAUCAUUUUAUUUCGUUUUGUAUAAAUAGAUGUCUUAGGGUUCUGUCUUGGGACAUCUAGUCGACAUUGAGUUUUUGCUUCAGUUUUAUUUUUUGUUUUACUCUGCUGUGCCGUUUUUGCUUCUGCAACCUGUAAUUCGAGAUUUUUCCAAGUUAUUCAGAUUCCGCAUUUGAUUUCAUCUGUCAUCUUGUUUCUCUACUCUUUAUCUCUUUACUUAUGCAAUAUUAUCGUUUAUCUGCGUUUAUGUCUUUCAGCAUGUUGUCUGAGUAGUGACUUAGAAUUCUUAGGGAUGGGAAUGAGUAGUUAUGGAAUUCGUAGUCUGUAGAAUGGUUAAGUUUUAGAAUUGAUUGAAUCCCUUUAGGACUAGUUGCGUUUACUGCUUAUUUCUUUCUGAUCAACUGGAAUUCGAUCCCAAGCAUUCCCGCACCCAGAAGGUGUUCGAUGGAAUGCUUGAUCCACUAGUUCCUGAGAUAUGCGUCUCUAUCCCAAGGGAUUGGCCGUUUAGAGCGUUUAUUGACUUUAUCAGUCUGUUCUUAUUGCCUGCAUAGUUAGAUUCCGUUAAUGGGAAUUAGUCUGGGCUAGCUUUGCUUGAGGAUUUCUAUCACCGGAGUGAAUUGAUCUGUUGUUGAACCUGUUGUCUAGGGAUAGCUUGAUUGCGCUUGUUAACCAUUCGAAUAGGCUGAGAUACCACUCUACUCGAUUACCCCAUCCUUAGGAAUUUCUCGUCUAUCUUAUUUCUCUGUUUUAUCGUUAUCGCUUAAUCGUUCUUAUUGCCUGUUUCGUAGUUUUUACAAUCACUCGACCAACUUACUCGACCACACCCAGUGUCUGGCAACAGACUGUUCAGUCGAGUAAGAUUGUCUUGUUUCCUGUCUGUUACUCGUCCAGUAUACUCGACCACACCCAGUGUCUGGCAACAGACUGUGCAGUCGAGUAUAGCUGUUUCAUAUCCUGUCUGUUACUCGACCUGUUACUCGACCACAUCCUACUUCUGGCAUCAGCCUGUUGUGGUCGAGUGAUUUUAGUAAUUCUGUUAUUGCUUCUGUUUUCUGCAUGUUCGCUUAGGACUGUUAGAAACCCCAAAACUGUUAUUGCUUGGCUUGACUUAGUGACUUCUGAUCACAUCUCAUCUGUUUGCAUCACACCCAUUUGGAUUGAAACCUAAAAUACUACAAUGACAUGAAUUGUGUUUUAGGAUAAUUGAUUAAAA
rnacentral:sRNA from 1 species